rnacentral:rRNA from 1 species
GAUGAACGCUGGCGGCGUGCCUAAUACAUGCAAGUCGAGCGAACUGAUUAGAAGCUUGCUUCUAUGACGUUAGCGGCGGACGGGUGAGUAACACGUGGGCAACCUGCCUGUAAGACUGGGAUAACUUCGGGAAACCGAAGCUAAUACCGGAUAGGAUCUUCUCCUUCAUGGGAGAUGAUUGAAAGAUGGUUUCGGCUAUCACUUACAGAUGGGCCCGCGGUGCAUUAGCUAGUUGGUGAGGUAACGGCUCACCAAGGCAACGAUGCAUAGCCGACCGGAGAGGGUGAUCGGCCACACUGGGACUGAGACACGGCCCAGACUCUUACGGGAGGCAGCAGUAGGGAAUCUUCCGCAAUGGACGAAAGUCUGACGGAGCAACGCCGCGUGAGUGAUGAAGGCUUUCGGGUCGUAAAACUCUGUUGUUAGGGAAGAACAAGUACAAGAGUAACUGCUUGUACCUUGACGGUACCUAACCAGAAAGCCACGGCUAACUACGUGCCAGCCGCCGCAGUAACAC